UGAUAAUGGUGAUGGCAAUUUUUGAGCAUACCCUUACACCUUUCCCAAGCUUGGCAAAGAUUUUUUCUUUCUUUCUACCUGAAACUCAAAAUCUCACUUCUCAAAUG
rfam:Capsicum annuum cultivar Zunla-1 chromosome 4, whole genome shotgun sequence